UACGGGGGGGGGCAAGCGUUGUUCGGAAUUACUGGGCGUAAAGGGCUCGUAGGUGGCCAACUAAGUCAGACGUGAAAAUCCCUCGGCUUAACCGGGGAACUGCGUCUGAUACUGGAUGGCUCGAGGCCGGGAGAGGGGUAGUGGAAUUCCCAGUGUAGCGGUGAAAUGCGUAGAUAUGGGAGGAACACCGGUGGCGAAGGCGGCUACCUGGACCGGAUCUGACGCUGAUGCGCGAAAGCGUGGGGAGCAAACGGG
rnacentral:rRNA from 1 species